rnacentral:misc_RNA from 1 species
GACCGCGAGCCGGCAAUCACUCAGGUCAUAAAAUUUGAUUCGGUGUAAAAUUACCUCUACUCGCCCGAAUCUUGUGGAUUGCCGAGUCUCGUUUAGUUGAGUUUUACAAUGAUGGCUCAUGAGCGUGCUGCAAAUCUAGCCCUCUUUGCUUUAACCUUGGCGCCACUUGUCAUGAAAGUAAAUCCCAAUUUGAAUGUCAUAUUAACCGCAUGUCUGACUGUUUAUGUUGGCUGCUAUCGGUCAGUCAAGCCAACGCCACCAUCCGAGACAAUGUCAAAUGAACAUGCUAUGCGCUUUCCUUUGGUUGGGAGUGCUAUGCUCUUAUCAUUAUUUCUCCUCUUCAAGUUUGUUUCCAAGGAUUUGGUCAAUGCUGUGCUCACAGGAUACUUUUUCGUUCUCGGUAUCAUCGCUCUUUCAGCGACAUUGUUACCUGCAAUUAAGCGGUUUCUACCAGACCACUGGAAUGAAGGCCUCAUUGUUUGGCGUGCUCCGUAUUUCCACUCUGCUUCUGUGGAGUUCACCAAAUCUCAAGUUGUUGCCGCCAUUCCAGGAACAUUUUUCUGUGUGUGGUAUGCUUUUAAGAAGCAUUGGUUGGCGAACAAUACUCUGGGGAUUGCCUUCUGCAUUCAGGGAAUUGAAAUGUUAUCAUUGGGCUCAUUUAAAACUGGCAGCAUUCUUCUGGCUGGAUUGUUCUUCUAUGAUAUCUUUUGGGUUUUCUUUACCCCGGUUAUGGUUAGUGUGGC